CCCCCGCCCGCCGGCGGAGCACGGGUUCCACCCUAGGGAGCGUCUCAAAAGUGCGCGGUUCCCUCCCACUCCACCAGGCCUCUCUUCCAGCUUCCUGCAACCCGGAUCCCUGCCCCCUCUGCCUUCUCCCUUUGCGCGUCCCAGUAAUCUCAGCAGAUGGCCGCUGGGUCGAGAACAUCUGGAGAGUUCCUCUUUGCUGGCUCCAACCCGAAGCCAAAGGGCCUUGGAACCUAUUCAAGUCCGUCUCUGAGUGUACAGCAAGUUGGAGAGAGGAGGAGAGCUGGCCUGGAAGGACACGACCCACCCACCUCACACACUUCAUCUGCCCACCCCACACACGUUGUCUGUCUACCUUGCUUGUCUCUCCUGGCAUUACUGUGUCAGGCUCUGCUCUUGAGGAGAGGGGGAAAUGAUUGACUCUGGCAAAACAGAUGUGUUUGCACUCUACCUCUGUGGGAAGCUGUGCUCAGGGUGUUUGGGACGACAAGUGGGCCCAGCACUGCCCUUGACCUGCACAGGAGCCACUGCUUCUGUGCCCUGAGAGGCAAUCAAGGCUGUCGUCUCCUGUGCACAGCGACAGAACAGAUGUCAGAGAAGACAGACGCCUUCCAACCAAAAAGAAAAAAAAAAAUCCAUCUGCUGAAUUUUCGAACUGGCCAACAAAUCUUGAGAUUACGUGAAGCGUUGGAGACAGGAAACUGUAGUCUUGCUGAUGAAGGGCCCUGCGUGGACUCACCUGGGACUUGGGUAACUUCAUGACUAAACAAAGCCCCAGCAGCAAGGGACAAGCUACACAGCCUUUGGACUUCAGAGACCUGAGGUGUGGAGGUGGGGUGGGAUAGGGGGGCCAUUACCAGAAGCCUGACUUCAGUUUCAGCUCAACAGGGCACCCUUGAAGAAGCUGGACCUCCCUUGGGGCCUCAAGCCCGUGUUGCAUAGAGGUGCUGGGAUGUGGGGUUCUGAGGCUGAGGUGUCCUGGAGAAAACCACAGCACGUGUGCUCCCCACCCCUGUGUCCUCCCCCAGAGCAGUAGCUUGCCUCUGCUUGAAUGCCUACCCAACUUCUGAUUUCCUCCAGGACCUUAAGUUCCUUCCCUGCUUCCUCACUCUUAAUUAUCCUGUUCCCUUCCACCCUGACUUAAUUACGGAGCCCAUCUGAGCUCAUUAGCUCUGGCUGCUCAGACUUGCUGUGAGGUUAACGAUGCCAGCAGCACUCAUCUGAGGGUUCCAGGCUUGGUGGGGCCUCUGGGAGCCCACACUGGGAUCUGGGAGGGUGAGAGCUCUGCCCUUGUAAUACAUCCACCCCUACACUUGGAUUGUCUGACACCAGCAAUGCUUGAAGCUCACACAGCUAGGAUCUGAUGAGAUGGGAAUGGGGGAGAUUAGAUUCUUCGUGCUAUCUCAAGUCGUUGGGCUUUUUUAUUUGUUUGGGUUAGUAGUUUUUCUUUUCCAAUUUCCAGUUUCAGCUUUUUUUUUUUUUUUUUGAGACAGG
rnacentral:lncRNA from 1 species